UCACGCCCUCACUCUCACCCUCAUUCUUUUCUUUUCUUCUCUCUGAGUUCCAUCUUCCAUGCCUCCCUCUUCUAUACUUGGCCCUCUUCAUCAUGCUUUUUAAAAAAAAAUAGAUUAACAAAAAUCUAAGAGUGUUUAUUGUGUGGAUUUUGUUAAUUUUUGCGUUUUUAUUUUUUAUUUUAAAUUGUGAGUUGUUUCUUUUUUGCUCUAAUGUAAGUCUUCGUCGCCGGCGACGUAGAGAACGCAUUCUCUACACAAACGGUGCUAGAGACUCCAUCUCCGCCGCCGAUCUAUAGCGGAGGAUUCUCUGAUUUCUCGCCGGAGCAGAACGAAAAGGACUUUGAUGGAGGUUUUGGCGGAUCGGACGGCCCGAUCUUGCCUCCGCCGUCGGAGAUGCAGUCGGAGGAGGGCUUUGCUCUGAGAGAGUGGCGCCGUCUCUUUCUUUGUUAUCACUCAUUCCCCUAAAGCAACACGCCAUCAUUACAAAGAUCAGCCAUCUUUCACUCACUUAUGAAACUGUUGUUAAGUUUCACUCAGUUCCAGUGAAUCUUCCAUCAGAUCUCUGCACUCUUCAGUGGUAUGGCUGUGAUCCUUAUGAAACCGACAGUACUUCUUUUAAGCUCAUCUGUGUGGCCAUGAAGUCAAAGGUUUCAACCACUUCAAGUUUGGAACAUCCUUGAUCUGCAGCAAAACUUUUUCCAUGGGUAUAUUCAAAGGGGUGAAAUUUACCAUUUUCUUCAAGAGGCUUAAGCUUACCUAUUCACUCUUUUUACUAGGGGAGCGAUCCUUUUUUUUUGGUGCCGAGACUUAUCAAGGUCAUUUAUCUUUUGCUUGCCAUCUAUGCCCUUUGUCAUCAAUGCAUCUACUCUAUUCAUGUACUUCUGAGUUUUGAACUGGAGAUCUGUCAUCGUCGUUAAUGGAGUCCUGGCCAAGGAGAAGAUGAAAUUUUUAGUCGUCAACCCAAGUAGAAGUCCAUCAGUUGGACUUGGUUAUCCACUUCAUCUAUUUCCAGAAUUUCUCAAUUGAAACACUUCACAUAGGCUCUUAGGGUUUCUCCUUAUUGCUGUUUUACCAUUAGUAGAUGGGAAGUCAGCCUUUUGUGCCUCUGAGCCCUGAUGAAAUGUCGACCAAUUGAAUCACUUAAUUGGUCGAAGUUUGCUAUUGAUGACAACUCUAGAUUGCUAAACCAAGCUCGAGCGGCUCCUUUAAGGUUGUUGGGAAUGAUAUGCACAUUACUUCAUUAGCUUUAUUUUGAAGUUUUAGUAGUGUCUUGAAGGAUCUUAUAUGAUCUAACAAGUUUGUACCCCCGUCAUAAGAUUCCAAUUGAGGGAGCUUGAACUUUGGUGGGAGUAGGCAUUCUAGGACUUCUCUGGUGAAUGGUGAACCCAUUCUUUUGAUCAUCCCAUCUAAGCUUUUGGUGGAUUUCCCUUUUUGAGCAUUCUUAAUUCAUCCAUUUCUUUCCUCAUGUCUUUUAAGAGCUCAUUGUUAUUACGGUUGGGCUACUCUGUCCGUCUAGAAUUGGAUCGCUCCAUUUGUUGGGAACUUUCUUCUAUAUCGCUAGUUGGUGGUCAUCAUUAUUGUUUCAAUUAUGAUGUCGUGGAUUGGGCAUGUUGCUAUUCUCAUGGGAGAGGUGCUACCUUAACUCCUCAUUCUACUUGGUCAAUUCAUCAACACUUUCUGCUAGUGUUUGAAGCUAUUAGGUCAUUUGCAUUGGAUCAAGUGGGGUUGAUGAACUUGGAUCCAUUUCGUUUGAAUGGUAGAGUUAUGAAAAUUUGUAUGAUUCAGAUCUACGUUCCCCACAAACGACGCCAAAAUAAUGAAGCCAGAAAUGGAUGUUAGUCGAUAGCCUUGUCAAAGCUUAUGACGAGGUCAUGUUCCCUACAAAGAUGAGAGAGAAAAACACCUGACUGGCAUUAGCCAAAUGUUCUCCGAUGAUUAAGUUAGUAGAGUUCUUAAUAUCUCUCAAAGAAUAAAAAUAUAAUUCUGUAUGUUUAGAAUUGUGAACCUUGUUGCUAAUGUUUGGUGGCUUAUUCAUAGCCUUGAUAUAGCCAUUGGGAUCCUCAUUAUUAGUGUAA